rnacentral:rRNA from 1 species
GACGAACGCUGGCGGCGUGCCUAAUACAUGCAAGUCGAGCGAAUCAAUAGGAGCUUGCUCCUGUUGAUUAGCGGCGGACGGGUGAGUAACACGUGGGCAACCUGCCUGUAAGAUCGGGAUAACUUCGGGAAACCGGAGCUAAUACCGGAUAAUCCUUUUCCACAUAUGUGGGAAAGCUGAAAGACGGUUUCGGCUGUCACUUACAGAUGGGCCCGCGGCGCAUUAGCUAGUUGGUGAGGUAACGGCUCACCAAGGCGACGAUGCGUAGCCGACCUGAGAGGGUGAUCGGCCACGCUGGGACUGGGACACGGCCCAGACGCCUACGGGAGGCAGCAGUAGUGAAUCUUCCGCAAUGGACGAAAGUCUGACGGAGCAACGCCGCGUGAGCGAUGAAGGCCUUCGGGUCGUAAAGCUCUGUUGUUAGGGAAGAACAAGUAUCGGAGUAACUGCCGGUACCUUGACGGUACCUAACCAGAAAGCCACGGCUAACUACGUGCCAGCCGCCGCGGUAA